GACGAACGCUGGCGGCGUGCCUAAUACAUGCAAGUUGAGCGAUGAAGAUUGGUGCUUGCACCAAUUUGAAGAGCAGCGAACGGGUGAGUAACGCGUGGGGAAUCUGCCUUUGAGCGGGGGACAACAUUUGGAAACGAAUGCUAAUACCGCAUAACAACUUUAAACAUAAGUUUUAAGUUUGAAAGAUGCAAUUGCAUCACUCAAAGAUGAUCCCGCGUUGUAUUAGCUAGUUGGUGAGGUAAAGGCUCACCAAGGCGAUGAUACAUAGCCGACCUGAGAGGGUGAUCGGCCACAUUGGGACUGAGACACGGCCCAAACUCCUACGGGAGGCAGCAGUAGGGAAUCUUCGGAAAUGGACGAAAGUCUGACCGAGCAACGCCGCGUGAGUGAAGAAGGUUUUCGGAUCGUAAAACCCUGUUGGUAGAGAAGAACGUUGGUGAGAGUGGAAAGCUCAUCAAGUGACGGUAACUACCCAGAAAGGGACGGCUAACUACGUG
rnacentral:rRNA from 1 species